UGGGGAAUAUUGGACAAUGGGCGCAAGCCUGAUCCAGCAAUGCCGCGUGUGUGAAGAAGGCUUUCGGGUUGUAAAGCACUUUCAAUUGGGAAGAAAACCCCGAGGUUAAUACCUUCGGGUCUUGACGGUACCAAUACAAGAAGCACCGGCUAACUCCGUGCCAGCAGCCGCGGUAAUACGGAGGGUGCAAGCGUUAAUCGGAAUUACUGGGCGUAAAGCGCACGCAGGCGGUUUGUUAAGUCAGAUGUGAAAGCCCCGGGCUCAACCUGGGAACUGCAUUUGAUACUGGCAGACUAGAGUAUGGGAGAGAGAAGUGGAAUUCCACAUGUAGCGGUGAAAUGCGUAGAGAUGUGGAGGAACACCAGUGGCGAAGGCGGCUUCUUGGCCCAAUACUGACGCUCAGGUGCGAAAGCGUGGGGAGCAAACAGG
rnacentral:rRNA from 2 species